CAGCAGCCGCGGUAAUACGUAGGUGGCAAGCGUUGUCCGGAAUUAUUGGGCGUAAAGGGUGCGUAGGCGGCUUGACAAGUCUUGUGUGAAAUCUAUGGGCUCAACCCAUAGUCUGCACGGGAAACUGUCGGGCUUGAGAAUGGGAGAGGUGAGUGGAAUUUCCGGUGUAGAGGUGAAAUGCGUAGAUAUCGGAAGGAACACCUGUGGCGAAAGCGGCUCACUGGACCAUUUCUGACGCUGAUGCACGAAAGCUAGGGGAGCAAACAGGAUUAGAUACCCGCGUAGUCCCUGUCUCUUAUAC
rnacentral:rRNA from 1 species